CAUUCUGUACUGGAGAGACUUAGCUUGUGUUGAAGUCUGAAUGGAAGCCAUUUAUGGAUAUGCAAAGAGGAAUGGAUAAUUGAUGAAGCAUGGUAACAAAGAUUAUUUUCAUCUGAGUACAAAGAUAAAGGUUGCCAUAGCCAUUGGAGAUCACACCAUGACUUGCUUCCCGACCACCUGGAUUUUAUGUGAAGUCACAUGUUCUUAGAAAAACAGACUUUUAAGACA
rnacentral:lncRNA from 10 species